GAUGAACGCUAGCGGGAGGCCUAACACAUGCAAGCCGAGCGGUAGAGUUUCUUCGGAAACUUGAGAGCGGCGCACGGGUGCGUAACACGUGUGCAACCUACCUUUAUCUGGGGGAUAGCCUUUCGAAAGGAAGAUUAAUACCCCAUAAUAUAAUGAUUGGCAUCAAUUAUUAUUGAAAACUCCGGUGGAUAGAGAUGGGCACGCGCAAGAUUAGAUAGUUGGUGAGGUAACGGCUCACCAAGUCAAUGAUCUUUAGGGGUCCUGAGAGGGAGAUCCCCCACACUGGUACUGAGACACGGACCAGACUCCUACGGGAGGCAGCAGUGAGGAAUAUUGGACAAUGGGUGAGAGCCUGAUCCAGCCAUCCCGCGUGAAGGAUGACGGUCCUAUGGAUGGUAAACUUCUUUUGUACAGGGAUAAACCUACCCUCGUGAGGGUAGCUGAAGGUACUGUACGAAUAAGCACCGGCUAACUCCGUG
rnacentral:rRNA from 1 species